GGAGCUCUGCACGGGAGCGAUUGCCCAAUAAAGCCUCUUAACACUCCGGUGCUCUCUUCAUCUUGCCGCUGCGUUCUUACAGGUCAUCAGAGAGCACCAGACUGGGCUGCCUGUGCUACACAGCUGGUACAAAAUUCUGAACUCAAGGAAGAGGAUGAAUUUGAAGACAUUUUUGUAAAUUUUAUAUUUUGAAUAAAAAUUCAAAGUAUG